rnacentral:rRNA from 1 species
AACACAUGCAAGUCGAGCGGUAGCACAGAAGAGCUUGCUCUCGGGUGACAAGCGGCGGACGGGUGAGUAACGCGUAGGAAUCUACCUAGUAGUGGGGGACAACAGUUGGAAACGACUGCUAAUACCGCAUACGCCCUAAGGGGGAAAGCGGGGGAUCUUCGGACCUCGUGCUAUUAGAUGAGCCUGCGUGAGAUUAGCUAGUUGGUGAGGUAAGGGCUCACCAAGGCGACGAUCUCUAGCUGGUCUGAGAGGAUGAUCAGCCACACUGGGACUGAGACACGGCCCAGACUCCUACGGGAGGCAGCAGUGGGGAAUAUUGGACAAUGGGCGCAAGCCUGAUCCAGCCAUGCCGCGUGUGUGAAGAAGCCUUCGGGUUGUAAAGCACUUUCAGAAGGGAGGA